CCAAUAGCGUAUAUUAAAGUUGUUGCAGUUAAAAAGCUCGUAGUUGAAUUUCGGGAUCAAUUUGUUGGUCGUGCCUCGGUACGUACUGGCAUUAUUGGUUUCUACCUUCUGAAGAACCUUGAUGUCAUUAAUUUGGUGUCUUGGGGAAUCAGGACUGUUACUUUGAAAAAAUUAGAGUGUUUAAAGCAGGCAUACGCUUGAAUACAUUAGCAUGGAAUAAUGAAAUAGGACGUUUGAUUCUAUUUUGUUGGUUUCUAGGAUCGACGUAAUGAUUAAUAGGG
rnacentral:rRNA from 1 species